AUUUCAGUGAGACUCAGAGUCCUGUAGACAGUUCGGGAUUGACUUUUAAAUUGGAAUGCCAGGUUAAAUAUUGGCUCUGGUCUCUCAACCUAACACAGUCUUUUGGGGAAAAACAUCCAUUUUUAACAACUCUUCUGGCCAUAAGACUGUUGUUUAUAUUUAACCCAAAUCCCUCUAGCAGCUGAACAGUUCAUCUCUCCUCUUGAAGAGGAAUUCUUGAUUACAGUUCCACAAUCCCAGGUGCGCUUUGGAAUCUGAAAUUUGUGGAGUGUAGAAAGGUAAUGCAGUGCAUAUAUGGCAAAUCAUAUCCCAUCUCCAGGGAGUUCUAAAGCAGCAUCCUGUAACAAACAUAUUUAAAUCUGUGCAAAUGAAACAUAAAAAUUCACAGCAAGCAUGAUGAAUAGACAUUAUAAACAGUCUUAUGUGAGUUCUGAUUUUGUCAUUAAAUUUAGGAGAAAUUUUACUUUUCAGAGCUUUUUCUAUCUGGGCAUUAAGGAUAAGAGAUUGUAGACUGCAAGUUCCUGCAAAAAAAUGAAAUUGAGUGAACUUCAAUUGGGAAAGGCUGAAGGGGAAACAAAUGAACAACAGCAGUGGUAUAUGCUGCAAGAGCACAUUUAACAGAUUUCUUCCCACAAACAAACUGGAUUUGGAAUGAAAAUUGUCCGCGGCCAGACUCAGAGUCCCAACCAGGAGACCUUGCAAUAAAAAGAUGGAGAUUCAUCCACAUCGUCUUGAUGGCUGCAGUACCACUGUUUUCAUUGCUGUGUAGGGCUCUCUUGUAUGCUCUGCCAUUUAAACCUUCUACCACGGCGGCUUUUGGCUUCUGACUGCUCUGGGCUGCUAGGGCUAGUGCUGCUUGAAGCAUUCUGGAGUCUGUUUAACCUCUGAACACAAAAGGUAUUAUGGAAGAAAUAUGUAUUUAUUCAGUUUCACUUGUCACAAGGAAGAAAAAGCAACCACUUUCCUGUACUUUGCUAAAAAGCAUGUUUUCUACAAAACAAUUCUAGAAGUCAAAAAGGAAAGUUUCCAUUUAUUCUUUCAUUUUUUGCAUUACAGAUACAAUCUUGAGAUUAAUAAACUCCA